AUGCCUUUUCCCCCAAAACUCCCGUAUGAUCACCUAUCAACAGUGGUUAUAUCGAAGCAACAUCUGCGGUUGGAGCCCAAAAAUCUAAAAAAUAAUAAGCCUCAGAGCACCAGAAUCAGUCAGCUUAGAGUACAUGAUUUUCGCAGUAGUACUCCGAUCGCACCCCCACCUUCCCCAAUGCCACUGGAGGAACUAAAGCUACGAAAAUGGGCCUGGCCCAAAGAGCUACCGUACCGUACAUAUAAAAAAACCUCCCAAGAGGGGAGAAAGGGCAAUGACAGUCUUUGGAAUCCCAUCAUUUCCCUGACCUAUUGCUGGGAACGCUCUCCGGGUGCGGACUCAAGGAUGCCUAGGACAAUUAAAUGUCUAACAAUCAAACAGAACACACCCUUACAGCUUUGUUUUUCCAGGUGUCCAUCAGUUCCUAUUCCUAGCUCUCGGACCUCAUCUCGAGUAUCUGGCUUUGGGUGUCACGGGAAUUCGCCCAGAUGCACCCAGAGGAGCUGUGCAUCAGUGCCCCCUUACCUGCCCACCCAGUGCAGUAGCUCCAACGUUAGUGUCUUCUCAUGUGAGAUUAAACCGACGCCGCGCAAGACCCCUGGCAAAGGGGAAAAGGAAAACCCAGAGCAGCGUAUAAACCAAGAGGGAAAGAAGAAGAGACAAAAUAGGUUCAAGGGACUGGAGGAUUUGGGAUUUCCCACUUUCCCUCAGAGCCAGCAGCAGUUGGUGGUAGUGUCUGCAUUCAGAGCCAAAGAUAGGCUGAAUACUAAAUCAUAACUCCACAAAUGAGCCCAAGAAAAAAACUACACCAUGUCUAAGGAUAACUUCUUGAAUGCCCUACAAUGGAAAGAAAAGAUACUACAAGAACUGGGAAAUGAGAAUUACUUCUUUGCUACAGGUAGCCACUGAACUUAAACCUACUUUCUUUGAAAUUUUGUAAGUGCUGGAGAGACAGAGUCACAGACUUUUGAGGAGAUAUUUUGUUUCAACUAUUGUUGUCCAGCCCUCAUUUUCGAAAAGGAU
rnacentral:lncRNA from 1 species